GUGUUUGCUUCUGCAACACAUUUACUAAAAUUGUACAUUAAUGUACAGAGAUUAGCAUGACCCCAGCACAAGGAUAACACACAAAUUUGUGAAGUGUUUCUUAUAAAU
ensembl:snRNA U6 U6 spliceosomal RNA